AAAACUGACAGAGACACUAGUGCGAUGGUUGGCUGUGGUCCCUGGGUGGCAGUGUUGAGCCUGUUCUGCCUGCUCUCAGCAGGCCGACUUGAGGAAGCACACAGAAUAAAUAUCAAGCUUACAAAAAGGAAAUAAAACUGCUGGUGUUACAUCCAACCUGCCUUCUCCCUUGCAUCAUUUUCUCACUCCACUCCUUGCCGUUCGGGUCUUCUGACCGAGACUCUGUCUGCUCACCCAACAUUCACUCCCCCCAAACCACAUCACCCUUACAGUUCCUUCAAUGUGGAGAAGAUUGAGCUUCCGGUAUCUUUCGAGCUGUAUGAUGAGGAUGGCGAUCAUAGGCUUAAGCUGAUAGAGUGUGAAUGGCUGGUCAAAAACAUCACCAUGAACCGACCAUUGUAAGCGUGCAUUAAUAAAAUACACAAAGAUGAAUUUCUUGUUGCACAUCUCCAUGGUUACGAUGCUUUAAGAAAAAUUGUAAUUGUAAUUGUUAUUAGAAACAGGGGGACAGUGGUUCAGCAGGUAGAGGAGUCGUUCAGCAAUCCGAAGGUUACUAGUUCGAUCCCGACUCCUCCUCAGCAAGUAUCGAAGUGUCCUUGAGCAAGACACUGAACUCUUAACCGCUCCCGAUACCCAGGUUGGCAACUUAGAUAGUGGCCUCUGCCAUCGGUGUAUGAAUGGGUAGAUGUCUGAGGCAUUCAUGUAUAAAGCGUUUUGAGUGCUCCACGAGUAGAAAAGUGCUAUAUAAAUCCAUGCAGUCCAUUCACAUCAAAAUGAAAAAAAAAAAUGCCCGAGACAGCAGUUGUGUGAAAACAGACAGUAGGAUUAGGUUUCCUAGCCAAGUUUAUGCUAUAGCUGUGGCUUGCAGACGACAUUAUAAGCGAAUUAGUCUAGGCUUAUUUGUCCAUGUCAG
ensembl:lncRNA